rnacentral:rRNA from 1 species
UACGUAGGGCGCAAGCGUUGUCCGGAAUUAUUGGGCGUAAAGAGCUCGUAGGCGGCUUGUCACGUCGAUUGUGAAAGCCCGAGGCUUAACCUCGGGUCGUGCAGUCGAUACGGGGCUAGCUAGAGUGUGGUAGGGGAGAUCGGAAUUCCUGGUGUAGCGGUGAAAUGCGCAGAUAUCAGGAGGAACACCGGUGGCGAAGGCGGAUCUCUGGGCCAUUACUGACGCUGGAGGAGCGAAAGCGUGGGGAGCGAACAGG